GCCCAGAUGGGAUUAGCUAGUAGGCGGGGUAAUGGCCCCCCCUAGGCGACGAUCCCUAGCUGGUCUGAGAGGAUGACCAGCCACACUGGAACUGAGACACGGUCCAGACUCCUACGGGAGGCAGCAGUGGGGAAUAUUGCACAAUGGGCGCAAGCCUGAUGCAGCCAUGCCGCGUGUAUGAAGAAGGCCUUCGGGUUGUAAAGUACUUUCAGCGGGGAGGAAGGCGACGGGGUUAAUAACCACAGUGAUUGACGUUACUCGCAGAAGAAGCACCGGCUAACUCCGUGCCAGCAGCCGCGGUAAUACGGAGGGUGCAAGCGUUAAUCGGAAUUACUGGGCGUAAAGCGCACGCAGGCGGUCUGUCAAGUCGGAUGUGAAAUCCCCGGGCUCAACCUGGGAACUGCAUUCGAAACUGGCAGGCUAGAGUCUUGUAGAGGGGGGUAGAAUUCCAGGUGUAGCGGUGAAAUGCGUAGAGAUCUGGAGGAAUACCGGUGGCGAAGGCGGCCCCCUGGACAAAGACUGACGCUCAGGUGCGAAAGCGUGGGAGCAAACAGGAUUAGAUACCCUGGUAGUCCACGCCGUAAACGAUGUCGACUUGGAGGUUGUUCCCUUGAGGAGUGGCUUCCGGAGCUAACGCGUUAAGUC
rnacentral:rRNA from 1 species